rnacentral:tRNA from 1 species
GAGAAAUGGCUGAGUGGCCGAAGGCGCACGAUUGGAAAUCGUGUGUACGUCAUAAGCGUACCGAGGGUUCAAAUCCCUCUUUCUCC